GACGUAGGGCGCGAGCGUUGUCCGGAUUUAUUGGGCGUAAAGAGCUCGUAGGCGGCUUGUCACGUCGGGUGUGAAAGCCCGGGGCUUAACCCCGGGUCUGCAUUCGAUACGGGGCUGGCUGGAGUGUGGUAGGGGAGAUCGGAAUUCCCGGUGUAGCGGUGGAAUGCGCAGAUAUCAGGAGGAACACCGAUGGCGAAGGCAGAUCUCUGGGCCGUAACUGACGCUGAGGAGCGAAAGCAUGGGGAGCGAACAGG
rnacentral:rRNA from 1 species